UCUUAGUUCGUGGAGUGAUCUGUCUGCUUAAUUGCGUUUCAAAUUUUUAACCGAGGACCGGGUUUUGGUUUGGCUAGUGGUCCUACGAUGACUGUGAACUGUCAUGUCUUCGGAUGUACGACUAUCGGUCUAGGAUCACAUGACUUGCCCCUGGGACUCUUUUGAACGCAACGGACGUGAUUGCAACCCCUUGUUGAGAUUAGAGAUAGUCUCGAUAUUCACUGGCCAAACUGGCUGCUUUAUGCAGUCUUGUUGAAUGGUGGAUAAACUCGGGGGACUGCUGACUAUAACCAUUUCUCAAAACAGAGGAAGGUUGCGGCAAUAACAGGUCUGUGAUGCCCUCAGAUGUCCCGGGCUGCACACGUGCUACAAUGAGUGGCGCAAUGUGCUAAUGUUUUAAGGGAUAAGCGUGCGGCCAGUAGAACGUCGGCAAUUGCCCUGGCGUCUUCUACCGCACGAUUAUCAGCCUUCCCUUAACAGGGCGGGCAACCUUUUCAAAAUACCGGUUUGAUGUUAAAGUAUAGAGUCGUUUUUUUUGGAUGGUGGUUUACGAACCAAUACCAUCCGCAACUGCUCGCGAGUUUGUGGUUCUGGUGACUC
rnacentral:rRNA from 1 species